GACGUAGGGCGCGAGCGUUGUCCGGAUUUAUUGGGCGUAAAGAGCUCGUAGGCGGCUUGUCGCGUCGACUGUGAAAACCCGCGGCUCAACUGUGGGCUUGCAGUCGAUACGGGCAGGCUGGAGUUCGGUAGGGGAGACUGGAAUUCCUGGUGUAGCGGUGAAAUGCGCAGAUAUCAGGAGGAACACCGGUGGCGAAGGCGGGUCUCUGGGCAACAACUGACGCUGGAGGAGCG
rnacentral:rRNA from 1 species